rfam:Medicago truncatula strain A17 chromosome 1, whole genome shotgun sequence.
AUGACGUGUAACAUGCCCGUUGUGUAAUUACUUUGAUGCAUAUUUUAUUAAUUAAUUGAUUUUUGGGAAACGGGGUGUUACACUA